UGCAAACGAUUGCUGCAGCUCGGGGGAGAGGCGGCUCAGUGCAGUUUUGCAGCAAAAGGCCUGGGGGAAGGACCAGGGAGAUGCCUCGCAUCCCAUUCCCGCAGAUACACACUUCAUGCGAAAUCCAGCAGUGAGGUCAGCGCGGCGUGUUCUGCACCCGCAGCUCGUCAGCGUUCAGACAGCAGAACGGUGCGGUUGUGAAGCAGCUGCAGACUUGGUGCCCAAUGAGCCUCCCCAGCCUCUUCCAUUACCACGGGCCUCACUGGCAAAGGGACAUGAAAGAGCAACCGGAUGGAGAAAGAGAUCUUAUUCAAGUGGAUAAGCCAUGUGGCCAGCUUGCGGGGGCAUUCAGAGACAGUUGGCAAGAUAAGAUGCUUCAGGAGAGAUGCAGAACUCCGUGUGCAGUCUCUAUGAGGGAAUGCAGAAUGGCAGCAGCUCAGCGAGUGAAUAUAAAGGCCAUAUAAGGGAAGUAAAUGGACUGCUGUAGAGAUGCCAUUAGCAAAGCAAACACUGACUUGGGGACCUUGGCAUACACCAUGGAGGAGAUAAAUUGCAUGAAUAAAUGCAUACUUGUUUCCUUCUCCCUAGAUUUACAGAGUCAGAUGUAACCUAGAAACUGUUUACAUGUGUGAAACAGAAGUUUUUCUGUAGUCAUUUUAACGCCAAGCAAUUUCUACCCCUGUCUAAUCCCGGUGCUCUUAAUUUAAACGCAUCUAUCGUUGUUUCAUUGUAACCAAGGCCUUGGGCUAAUGAAACAACACCAAACUGGUUCUUUAAGCAAUUGCAGUUUACGACUGUACUCUCUCCUUCUCUCUCUUCAUGCCAAGAGCGCAGUUCCCAUGGUGGUAAAAGGGAAGCAGGAGGUGAAACACCCGAGUCAGGCUCUGGCUGGAGGCACCAGAACGGUCAGCAUGCAGCCACUCGCAGAAGCAGUGCUGAGCACUGGGGCAUUUUGCGGUGGAGGCUUGGAACCGUGCAGAGGUGGUGUGAGUGCUAGGAAGGCAUGCUGCAGAGCAGGCUCCAGUUCUCACACCUGGGACAGUCACCCACCCUAUGGGCACAGCCACGUUCAUGUUCUGGCGUGGCUCACUUUCAGGAUGAGUCUCCAGGUCAUCCUUUGCUCAGCCACGUUUUGUUUUACCCAGCAGGGAAGAGUGCACAGGGUGGAUGCUAUGCAGGUGGCACUGGACAAGAAGACAAGGCUUUAGAAGGGCAUCUAAUGGGUCUUGAGUGCUAGAGACCUAGGCUAGAGCAAAGCUAAAGAAAACCAUGUGGAAGCACAUGGAUAUCCAUCAGGUCUUCGGCACCAACAGAUUUGCAGGAGGGUAGAAUAAGAUGAUCUUCAAGGUCCCUUCCAGCCCUAACCAUUCUGUGGUUCUGUGACUGGGUCAGGCUGAUCUCUCACACUCGCUAACACAGACACGGCCUUUGUGGGUGCAGCUGGGCGGCUGUGGUUGUUUUGGGGGUAUGCCUUUAUUGUCUUCCUUGCAGAGCACAUCACUGCACACACCUUCUAGCACCAAAGCUGGAUUUCACGCAAUCACAGAAGUGUAGGGGUUGGAAGGGACCUCUGGAGAUCACGGAGUUCAACCCCCUGCUAAAGCAGGCUCCCUACAGCAGGCUGCAUCCAGAACAGAAUCACAGAAUAUUUCACCUUCUUUUAUUUGAAGCACUUUUCCUUCAGGAAUAGGCUUGAAACGAUAGGAUGGAGAACUAGAUUUUGCUGGACAAUUCUCAAUCCAUUUGUUAUCCUUUGAGAAAAUAUACAUUUCCACUCAUGUUCUGAUUUUAAGACUUCACAUUACAGAGCAAAAAUAGUCUUCUUCCAUCCAAUAAAGUGGCUUUGUAAUUUAAUUCUGAACAUGACUGUUGUUACAAUUAAAUGUUGU
rnacentral:lncRNA from 7 species